rnacentral:lncRNA from 1 species
CUUCUUGUGCCUCUCUCCCACUCUCCUGGAGUUCUCCCAGAACAAUAUGCUGAGAACAUUGAUAAGGUUGGAAUUGCCCAAAGGCCUUGCACCAGGAGCAAAUACUUUGCUCCUAAAGCAGACAUUCAGAUCUGGAAAAUCUGAAAGAGAACAUGGGCAUGAUUCCCUUCAUUUUAAAAAUCAUCUUGAAUCCUGAGGCACAUUUGAAAUGCAAGAUAUGUGAGGUGAAUGGCAGAAAAGAAAAAUACCAGAAGACUGAAUUUCCAAUAAAUCAAAGCAACCGAAUUUCAAUUUACAAUAGUGGAACUCAGGACAUAUUUUUUCCACCAAAACAUCCAACCAAGUAUGAGUGAGUGGCCUGGCCUUAACACAUUGUUUGUUUGAACAACAAUUUGAAGGAAAGUCGAUAUGUUGAUAAUAUAAUAUAGAGUAACUUCAGAAGGCCUUAUAAAGAAUGUGCAGUAGGAAGAAGAAAAUCUGGAACCCUGAGUGAGUACU